rnacentral:misc_RNA from 1 species
CCUCCUUUUUAGAGGUACAACGAUUUGAUUUGUGCAGAAUUGUUUUUACCUAGUUGUCUUUUCUACUUCUUUAUAUAUAACUUAUUAUUUCCCAAAAGCUCAGUGUGCUUUGGCAGCCUGCUUUGGACAAUAGUCCCUUAGCUCAGUUGGUUAGAGCGCUACACUGAUAAUGUAGAGGUCCGCAGUUCAAAUCUGCGAGGGACUACUAUAAAGUUUUUUUGGGGGAUUAGCUCAGCUGGCUAGAGCGCCUGCCUUGCACGCAGGAGGUCAACGGUUCGACUCCGUUAUUCUCCACCAUUUCCGUUAUGGAAAAUAAGUUCUUUGACAUGUUGAAAAUAAAAUUAAAUCAGAGUUAAUAUUUUAUAUUAACUAUCAAAUAUUAAAUUAAAGUUUAGAAUAAGUUGUAACUUAUUUAAAAGCUGUUAAGGGUGUAUGGCGGAUGCCUAGGCUCUCAGAGACGAUGAAGGACGUGAUAAGCUGCGAUAAGCUUGGGGGAGGUGCAAACAACCUUUAAUCCAGAGAUUCCGA